AAGAUCUGAGGUGAGUCUUCUCCACCUGUUCUGUACUAAAUGUUGACUGCUGUAACGCAGUACGAUUGGUACGGAUCAUGUGGAGACUCACCUCAGAUUUU